rnacentral:rRNA from 1 species
UACGUAGGGUGCGAGCGUUAAUCGGAAUUACUGGGCGUAAAGCGUGCGCAGGCGGUUUCGUAAGACAGAGGUGAAAUCCCCGGGCUCAACCUGGGAACUGCCUUUGUGACUGCAAGGCUUGAGUGCGGCAGAGGGGGAUGGAAUUCCGCGUGUAGCAGUGAAAUGCGUAGAUAUGCGGAGGAACACCGAUGGCGAAGGCAAUCCCCUGGGCCUGCACUGACGCUCAUGCACGAAAGCGUGGGGAGCAAACAGG